rnacentral:rRNA from 1 species
CGGGUGAGUAACGCGUGAGGAACCUGCCUCAAAGAGGGGGACAACAGUUGGAAACGACUGCUAAUACCGCAUAAGCCCACGGCUCGGCAUCGAGCAGAGGGAAAAGGAGUGAUCCGCUUUGAGAUGGCCUCGCGUCCGAUUAGCUGGUUGGUGAGGUAACGGCCCACCAAGGCGACGAUCAGUAGCCGACCUGAGAGGGUGACCGGCCACAUUGGGACUGAGACACGGCCCAA